UUCUUUGGACAUUUAUGUACAAAAAUUGAAGCGGACGAGCAAACUAUUUAUUAUUAUGGUUUUUUUUCGAAAUUUAUAUUUUGGCAAGCGAUACCUUGAAUUUGUUGAGAAGAAAGUGUAUUUAAAUUUUUAUUCUACAAAACAUUUGUUUUGAGGAGCAAGAAAUAUUUUUAACACCAUAAAAAAUGUAUUUUCUGUAAACUGUGGAGCGAAUGAUGACAUUUUAUGAAAAUGAAGUUAUAGUUUUCAUUUAAAUGGAGCUAUUAUUCAGAAAGUCUUCAGGGAAAGGCAGUAAUUUUAUUUUUAAUGUUUCCAAAGUUUUGGAGUGAGCGAAUCCAAAGACCUAUAUAUCAAUUUAGAGUUGUCUGAUCAGUAUACAUGUAUAUAGUAUUACCGUCUUUUUGUCAUAAUGUCAUUCGCAUAUAAUGUUAACCAGAUCAUUAGUAAAUAUUUAAAUUUAGUAUGUUUAUUUUGCCUGUUCCUAAAGACGUCUUUAAGAUAGCUGGGGUGUCUAAAUGUUCAACAAUAGAUUUUUCUUAAACUUCUAUAAAAGACUUCUGAGUCAAUGUACUCUCGAAUAUUAAUAUACAAACAAGUGGUCACGGAUCUGGUUUUUUUUUUCGUUAAAAUACAUUGUAGUAAAUGAAAUUACAGUUUUUUUUUAAAUGGGUUAUAUAGGGGAAACAUAACUUUUCCUUAUUGAGGAAACAUUAAACGAACGUAUUGGUUAAAAUUCAAUGAGAUGAUUGCUUUUUAUAAAUACUUCCGAAACAUCAAAUGAAAAAUGGGAGUCAUGGGCCUUCUCCCUAUUUUCUUGAAAAAUCCAAAAACCACAAAUUGUCCUUUCAAAUUCAACAUAAUUAUCCGACCUUGAUUUUAAAUGGAUUUUCUUUUCUGAAAAUUUUAAAUACACUAAACGACACUUAAUUUUUCAAUAGUUUAGUCUUUAAAAAUUUCAAGUUUUAGAUGUUUCUGUUGUAUAUUGAUUGCUACUUGGCCACGGUAAAAUAUCUUUUAACAAUAAGAGUAUUUUUUGAACACGCCCAGAAGGGAUGCUAAAAUAAAGACACCCGAUCUACCUUAAAAAAAAUGAAAUUAAACUGUGCAUGUUGAAAAAAAAAAAAGACAUUGUGAUAUGUAAAAUAACAAUUUAAUUAGAAUAUGGAUCUCUGAUUUCGUUACCCUCAUAUGAGGACGUGUAAGCGAUUUAUGAUAGAUAUGAACUUCAAUAAGAUUGGUAAAAUAACUAACAGUAUUAAUGUAUUUUAACUUAGAUUUAUUAAUUAAUCUACUUUAAAUCUUUAACAAAUCGUUUUGUCAGUUUAUAUAUAUAUAUAUAUAAACAAGUCUAAAUUGAAAACAACGUUCAAACCUAUGAUUGCGUUGGAUAAAAACCGCAAUUUUUAUACGUGUGCAUGCAAAACAAAUUUCUUGAUAGAGGGGUCUAAAUACAGCACAAACAACAUUUUCCAAAAGACCAAAAAAGUGAAAAAGUAUAUUUUAACAAAACGCAUUUGACUAACAGGUCGAACAACAGAUGUUCUUAAACCCUGCUGACUGCAAUUGGCGAUUGCAAAAUAAACGGAUCACAAGAUGUUACAAAAUAUAUAUAUAUAUAUAUAUAUAUAUUUUCGUACUUUCAUAUACGAUGACACACUUGAACCAUGAUUCUGACAGCAAAUUGCAAGCAUUAUUUUAUCAGGCAUUUCGACUCAUAACUUCUCGGCAGCAUUCAGCAGUCCUGACAACAAAAAAGAAAAAAGAAGAAAAUAUACCUUUCCUUUUUUUAAAAAUUGAUAACAAUUAAAAUCAGCUUAUAAUAUGCAUCAUAGGAGCCUGUUAUUCAGUGGUUGUCGUUGGUUGCUAUAGAGAUAUUAUUUUUUUCGUUUACUAUUAUUUUUUUUAGUAUAAGUCAGGUCAUUGAAAUGAUCUCUUUUGAAUUUUUUCCCAUUUCACCACUCCAGGGCCUUUUAUAGCUGAUUAUACAGUUAAAGGUUUUGCUAGUGUUAUCCUUCUUCGUCGUUUUCUAAUAGAAAGUUGUCCUAGUUUGCAAUCCUAACACUUCUCCUAAUUUCAUAUACGUAUAGCGAGUAAUGGUUUAUAUGCUACUCUCUAUCGACAAAAAAAAAUGUGCAACACUCCGCUUUGUUUUUAUAAUAUUUUAUAUGUAAGGUGAGAACUACUGUAAUUAGGAUUAGGAACAACUUUUGUAUAUAUUGUUAAGUUUAAGUAUAAUAAGCAAUUUCAAUGUCGGGUGAAUUCACAAUAAUAUAUAAAAAUAACCGAUGUUAAAUGCCCAACUUCCGCAUCAGGUAUAAAACCUCAUUUUCUCUACAUGCCAUAUACAUGUAUCUUCCAAUAGGACAAAAACAGAAAAAUGAGAACAGAAUAAAACAAAAAACGCAACAAAACUGCAUGUAAGCUUCAGAUCAAAUAAAAAAUUAUUCGUAACUCGUUUUAAUAAACAAAGUAAAGACGUUUAUUAUUUUUUCUGAUUUAUCCUUAAAUUUUUGUUUUGGCAAUGAAGGAACCCUUAUUAUGAUAGUAAUAAUAAAAAGUGCUCCCUUAAAUCAAGAGAAAUUAAAACUGACUUGAUGUUGCAAAGGUUCCUUUACGUGCUCCCCACUAUUUUUUCAUUUCUAUUUUUAUAACAAAAAUAAAACAACAACAUUGAAACGUGGUACUCUUGACUUUUUUGUAACGCACGUCCUCAGGCAAAUCGGACCAGACUGCAUGAUUUAUAUACCCUUCAUAUCCAAUACGAGUGCCUUCAUUGCAACUGUCUCUGUUGACGGAUAGAAAAAGUAAACCAUGAUGGUGACUAUAUAUUCAAUAACAUCUGAUCAGUAUGGUUUCUUUCUUAUUUAAAACUCAUUUAAAAAUAUAUUUAGAUUCACUGUUUUAGCGAUUAACAUGCAUAAAGUUGCAUUUCAUUGUACGUAAAACAAUAUCCAUUUUAUUAAAACUGUCCAGUUAUCUUAAAUUAAUCCCACACCAAGUAACAUUGAAAUAUAUCAUAUGCAAAAAUGUCGAGGUAAAAAACAACAAUACAAAAACAAUCCAAGGAUACUAUAUAAAUCCUUGACAUAACAAAAACUUGUAAUUUUUCUGCAAUACUUUCGACCUCUAAAUCUAAUUUACUUAACCUUUAAAAUGUAAAAGACAUUUAGUAUUUGAGUAUUAUAGUCUACACUGUUGUUUUCUCUGUUCCCUAUUCUAAGAAAUAAAGUUUUCAUUGUU